rnacentral:lncRNA from 1 species
GGCGAGGCCUCCGGGGAGAACGCGAGCAGCGCCUCGGUCAUCAGCAGCGACACCGCCAGCGCCAUCAGCAGCGGGUGCCAGGAGAACAGGCUGGAGCCGGGCCGCGCCAGCACGGCCACCCCGGCGGGCAGCCCCAGCGCCGCGGCGUGCGCGGCCGCGCCGGCGGCGGCGCGCAGCGAGCGGAAGAGCCGCGACUCGCUUUCGGCCGUCAGCGCCAUGCUGGCGCCGGGAGACGGG